rnacentral:rRNA from 1 species
GACAGAGGGUGCAAACGUUUGCUCGGAAUUAUUGGGCGUAAAGCGCGCGUAGGCGGCUACUUAAGUCGGAUGUGAAAGCCCCUGGCUCAACUGGGGAAGUGCACCCGAAACUGAGUGGCUUGAGUGCGAAAGAGGGUCGCGGAAUUCCCGGUGUAGAGGUGAAAUUCGUAGAUAUCGGGAGGAACACCGGUGGCGAAGGCGGCUCUCUGGGACGGUACUGACGCUGAGACGCGAAAGCGUGGGGAGCGAACAGG